GAUGAAGAACGCAGCGAAAUGCGAUAAGUAGUGUGAAUUGCAGAAUUCAGUGAAUCAUCGAAUCUUUGAACGCACCUUGCGCCCUUUGGCAUUCCGAAGGGCAUGCCUGUUUGAGUAUCAUGAACACCUCAACUCUUCAUGGUUUUCCAUGAUGAGCUUGGACUUUGGGGGUCUUGCUGGCCUGCGGUCGGCUCCUCUCAAAUGAAUCAGCUUACCAGUGUUUGGUGGGCAUCACAGGUGUGAUAACUAUCUGCGCUUGUGGUUUUCCACCAAGUAACCUUCAGCAGUGGAGGUUCACUGGAGCUCACAGACGUCUCUCCUCAGUGAGGACAGCCCUUUGAAUGUUUGAUCUCAAAUCAGGUAGGACUACCCGCUGAACUUAAGCAUAUCAAUAAGCGGAGGA
rnacentral:misc_RNA from 1 species